rnacentral:rRNA from 1 species
AGAGUUUGAUCAUGGCUCAGGAUGAACGCUAGCGGCAGGCUUAAUACAUGCAAGUCGAGGGGCAGCGGGUGUAGCAAUACAUGCCGGCGACCGGCGCACGGGUGCGUAACGCGUAUGUAACCUACCUUUAACUGGAGGAUAGCCCCGAGAAAUCGGGAUUAAUACUCCAUAAAAUUAUGAGAAGGCAUCUUUUUAUAAUUAAAGCUCCGGCGGUUUUAGAUGGGCAUGCGUGACAUUAGCUAGUUGGUGAGGUAACGGCUCACCAAGGCUCCGAUGUCUAGGGGUUCUGAGAGGAUUAACCCCCACACUGGUACCGAGACGCGGACCAGACUCCUACGGGAGGCAGCAGUAAGGAAUAUUGGGCAAUGGACGCAAGUCUGACCCAGCCAUGCCGCGUGAAGGAUGACGGCCCUAUGGGUUGUAAACUUCUUUUGUACGGGAAAAAACCUUCGAACGUGUUCGAAGCUGAUGGUACCGUAAGAAUAAGCAUCGGCUAACUCCGUG